rnacentral:tRNA from 1 species
UCUAAUAUGGCAGAUUAGUGCAAUAGAUUUAAGACCUAUUUAUAAAGUUUAACUUUUAUUAGAA